GCGGUAAGGAUCCGCCCGGUCCCUUUCCGAACCCGGUAGCUAAGCUUACCUGCGCUGAUGGUACUGCACCUGGGAGGGUGUGGGAGAGUAAGUCACCGCCGGCC
rnacentral:rRNA from 1 species